ACGGGGUAGUAACGGGUAGGUGACGUACCCUCGGGUCGGGGAUAGCCACGGGAAACUGUGGGUAAUACCCGAUAAUCUCUUGGAACGUGAUGGUUUCGAGAGCAAAGGUGCGAUUCCACCGGAGGAGCGGCCUGCUUCGUAUUAGCUAGUUGGUGAGGUAACGGCCCACCAAGGCGACGAUGCGUAGGGGGUGUGAGAGCAUGACCCCCACCACUGGGACUGAGAUACUGCCCAGACACCUACGGGUGGCUGCAGUCGAGAAUCUUCGGCAAUGGGCGCAAGCCUGACCGAGCGACGCCGCGUGUGGGAUGAAGGCCCUUGGGUUGUAAACCACUGUCAGAGGGGAUGAAGUUCAUGAGGGCAAUCUCUCAUGAUUGACAUAGCCUCAGAGGAAGCACGGGCUAAGUUCGUGCCAGCAGCCGCGGUAAUACGAACUGUGCGAACGUUAUUCGGAAUCACUGGGCUUACAGGGUGCGUAGGCGGCUUGUUAAGUAGGGUGUGAAAGCCCCCGGCUCAACCGGGGAAUUGCGCCCUAAACUGGCGAGCUGGAGUGAGAUAGGGGUGUGUGGAACUUCCGGU
rnacentral:rRNA from 1 species